rnacentral:rRNA from 1 species
AUGCAGUCGAGCGGGGUUUUCGGACCUAGCGGCGGACGGGUGAGUAAUGCGUAGGAAGCUACCCGAUAGAGGGGGAUACCAGUUGGAAACGACUGUUAAUACCGCAUAAUGUCUACGGACCAAAGUGUGGGACCUUCGGGCCACAUGCUAUCGGAUGCGCCUACGUGGGAUUAGCUAGUUGGUGGGGUAAUGGCUCACCAAGGCGACGAUCCCUAGCUGGUUUGAGAGGAUGAUCAGCCACACUGGAACUGAGACACGGUCCAGACUCCUACGGGAGGCAGCAGUGGGGAAUAUUGGACAAUGGCCGCAAGCCUGAUCCAGCCAUGCCGCGUGUGUGAAGAAGGCCUUCGGGUUGUAAAGCACUUUCAGCGAGGAGGAAGGGUUAGUAGUUAAUAGCUGCUAAUUUUGACGUUACUCGCAGAAGAAGCACCGGCUAACUCUGUGCCAGCAGCCGCGGUAAUACAGAGGGUGCAAGCGUUAAUCGGAAUUACUGGGCGUAAAGCGCACGUAGGCGGUUUUUUAAGUCAGAUGUGAAAGCCCCGGGCUCAACCUGGGAAUUGCAUUUGAAACUGGAAAACUAGAGUGUGUGAGAGGGGGGUAGAAUUCCAAGUGUAGCGGUGAAAUGCGUAGAGAUUUGGAGGAAUACCAGUGGCGAAGGCGGCCCCCUGGCACAACACUGACGCUCAGGUGCGAAAGCGUGGGGAGCAAACAGGAUU